rnacentral:rRNA from 1 species
CUAGCUUGCUAAUAAUUCUCUAGUGGCGCACGGGUGAGUAACACGUGAGUACCUGCCCCCAAGAGUGGGAUAGCCCCGGGAAACUGGGAUUAAUACCGCAUAAAGCAAUAAAGCAGCAAUGCGCUUGGGGAUGGGCUCGCGUCCUAUUAGUUAGUUGGUGAGGUAACGGCUCACCAAGGCGAUGACGGGUAGCCGGUCUGAGAGGAUGUCCGGCCACACUGGAACUGAGACACGGUCCAGACACCUACGGGUGGCAGCAGUCGAGAAUCAUUCACAAUGGGGGAAACCCUGAUGGUGCGACGCCGCGUGGGGGAUAAGGUCUUCGGAUUGUAAACCCCUGUCAUGUGGGACAUUAAAAGAUAGUACCACAAGAGGAAGAGACGGCUAACUCUGUGCCAGCAGCCGCGGUAAUACAGAGGUCUCAAGCGUUGUUCGGAAUCACUGGGCGUAAAGCGUGCGCAGGCGGUUUCGUAAGUCGUGUGUGAAAGGCGGGGGCUCAACCCCCGGACUGCACAUGAUACUGCGAGACUAGAGUAAUGGAGGGGGAACCGGAAUUCUCGGUGUAGCAGUGAAAUGCGUAGAUAUCGAGAGGAUCACUCGUGGCGAAGGCGGGUUCCUGGACAUUAACUGACGCUGAGGCACGAAGGCCAGGGGAGCGAAAGGGAUUAGAUACCCCUGUAGUCCUGGCAGUAAACGG